GGGUUGUGACCGUGGCGGCAUGUGAGUUGUUAUCGGUGUGAGUUCUUCGUCAGGCUCCCUGCUUUUAUGCGGCCAACUGAUGAGUACCACAUCUUUUUAAUACCUAUGUGGUUGAUUUCGCUAGGUGUUUAGUGUUGCCUUCGUGGAAAAUUGACCGAGUUUGGAAUUGAAAGUUAAAUGAUGUUAUUUGUAUGUCCCUCCUCUAAUCCAAGUGAUUAUGAGGGGAUGUACAAAGUUGGAACCUUCUUUGGUAUUUUGAUUUUCUCCGGAAAUCAUUUUUUAUCGUUGAGUGUCCCAAAUGUUUUACGGAUGUYGUGUAUGCUUAAGAAUCUUGGGAAGCCUUCCUUGUGUGCUUAUAAUUUAUAGCUCGGUUUUGUCCGCACUUUUUGAAAGACGUCUGCACGGGUCGUGAUGCUACCUUCUUUUCGGAGGAGGAAUGCAAACGUCCUUGUGCAGGUGCC
rnacentral:misc_RNA from 1 species